rnacentral:tRNA from 1 species
GCGGAAGUAGUUCAGUGGUAGAACAUCACCUUGCCAAGGUGGGGGUCGUGGGUUCGAACCCCGUCUUCCGCUCCA